CCUACGUGUGGCUGCAGUGAGGAAUAUUGGUCAAUGGCCGGGAGGCUGAACCAACCAAGUCGCGUGAGGGAAGACGGCCCUACGGGUUGUAAACCUCGUUUGUCAGGGAGCAAGGUGCAGGUCGGGACCUGCUGUGAGAGUACCUGAAGAAAAAGCAUCGGAUAACUCCGUGCCAGAAGCCGCGGUAAUAAGGAGGAUGCGAGCGUUAUCCGGAUUUAUUGGGGUGAAAGGGUGCGCAGGCGGAGGCACAAGGAAGCGGUAAAAUCGCGCGGCUCAACCACGCUCCGCCGUUGAAACUGUGUCCCUUGAGUGCGCGAAGGGUAGGCGGAAUGCGUGGUGUAGCGGUGAAAUGCAUAGAUAUCACGCAGAACUCCGAUCGCGAAGGCAGCCUACCGGCGCGCAACCGACGCUCAUGCACGACAGCGUGGGUAUCGAACAGGAUUAGAUACCCCAGUAGUC
rnacentral:rRNA from 1 species